ACGGAAGGCAGCAGUGGGGAAUAUUGCACAAUGGGCGCAAGCCUGAUGCAGCCAUGCCGCGUGUAUGAAGAAGGCCUUCGGGUUGUAAAGUACUUUCAGUCGUGAGGAAGGUGUUAAGGUUAAUAACCUUAGCAAUUGACGUUAGCGACAGAAGAAGCACCGGCUAACUCCGUGCCAGCAGCCGCGGUAAUACGGAGGGUGCGAGCGUUAAUCGGAAUUACUGGGCGUAAAGGGCACGCAGGCGGUUAAUUAAGUUGGAUGUGAAAUCCCCGGGCUUAACCUGGGAAUGGCAUUCAAGACUGGUUAGCUAGAGUCUUGUAGAGGGGGUAGAAUUCCAUGUGUAGCGGUGAAAUGCGUAGAGAUGUGGAGGAAUACCGGUGGCGAAGGCGGCCCCUGGACAAAGACUGACGCUCAUGUGCGAAAGCGUGGGGAGCGAAACAGGGAUUAGAUACC
rnacentral:rRNA from 1 species